UUGAUGUUGGCAAUUGCCACGCGGAUGUUGCGAUCGUUCUUUGAUAGUUGUCUCUGAAUGAUGUGCAUUGGUUUUUUUUUUUUUUUUUUUUUUUUUUUUUUUUUUGUAGCAGGUAGUCAACCUUAGAAGUUCUUGGAGUUGAAAGGAGGAGGCGAUUGAUAAACUUUUGGGAGAUCGGAUUUUGAGAGAGGGAAUGUUGGAGAUGGUGGAGGCUUGUGCAGUUGUUUCAUUCGAGAUCAGCAAAGUGGGGAGGAGCGAGUUAAGAAAGGCGACGAAGGGCCUUUAUAGAGUCAGGCAUUUCGAGUUGAGUUGGUCUUCCUCUUGCUGGUUGCGCAAGAAGUCUGAAGAGGACAUUGAACUCAUGCAGGUUGACUAAGUAUUGUACGCAGUGAAGGUUCGAAGCUGAGAAUGUGGUCUUUAUAACAAAGAUUGCCCAAGUUAGUAAUGUUCACACCAUGGGCCACCUAUCCGAACUCGGAUCUUCAAGAUAAAUCAAGCCAGCCACAAGUUUACAAGUUUUCCGCAAAUCCUCAGCAAAGUGCUGCUUCUCCAGGCGCCUUGCACUCCAAGAAGGAUUUACCUUUAAAACAGAGAAAAGACGCGGCAAUGGAAAUGCGACUGGGCAGACCUUGAAAGCUGCUGCUUCUCCUAAGAACUUCGGAAGUUGAUUUUGGUGAGUAUCACUGCAGCAACUAAGAGGCUUCUUUUCACUACCCUCUUCCAGUUUCACUUGGUAUAUGCUUCAUGAGUCCUCCUCCCCAAAGACACCCAACUGGGUUCAAGGCACUGUGCUGAACAUUUCUUACAUUCAAUUGCAAGUGAGAGCGUGAAAUUUGCUUGGCUCUCCAUCUCGUUGAAAUCAUUCUUUUAAACAUUGUUCAUACAGGUCGGUCGAGUCAGAUACAUUUUAUUCUGCACUACAAAACUGUACAUAUUCAUUCUCUCUUGCAAUACAGACACGUUAGAUCUGAA